rnacentral:misc_RNA from 1 species
UUGCAUUUGAUUCAGAAGCAUUCCGUGAUUCGAGACGUUGAAAUUCAGAACUGUCAGAAAUACUUGAAUCAAGCUCAUCUCGAGGCAUACUUGAAAGAAGCACGUUCUCUGUUGUUCGAUCUCGGAAUGAUAAACGAUCAAUAACCCGAGGAAAGAGCUCCAGCACUUGACAGUACACAUGAAUAAAAUCAGUAUGCAUCAUGGCAACACAACCCCAGAAAAGCUGGGGAUAGAGUAUAACCUUUU